AGAGUUUGAUCCUGGCUCAGGAUGAACGCUAGCUACAGGCUUAACACAUGCAAGUCGAGGGGCAGCAUGGUCUUAGCUUGCUAAGGCCGAUGGCGACCGGCGCACGGGUGAGUAACGCGUAUCCAACCUGCCUUACACUCUUGGACAGCCUUCUGAAAGGGAGAUUAAUACAAGAUGUUAUCAUGAGUAAGCAUUUUCGCAUGAUUAAAGGUUUACCGGUGUAAGAUGGGGAUGCGUUCCAUUAGAUAGUAGGCGGGGUAACGGCCCACCUAGUCUUCGAUGGAUAGGGGUUCUGAGAGGAAGGUCCCCCACAUUGGAACUGAGACACGGUCCAAACUCCUACGGGAGGCAGCAGUGAGGAAUAUUGGUCAAUGGACGAGAGUCUGAACCAGCCAAGUAGCGUGAAGGAUGAAGGUUCUAUGGAUUGUAAACUUCUUUUAUACGGGAAUAAACGGAUCCACGUGUGGAUUUUUGCAUGUACCGUAUGAAUAAGGAUCGGCUAACUCCGUGCCAGCAGCCGCGGUAAUACGGAGGAUCCGAGCGUUAUCCGGAUUUAUUGGGUUUAAAGGGAGCGUAGAUGGGUUGUUAAGUCAGUUGUGAAAGUUUGCGGCUCAACCGUAAAAUUGCAAUUGAUACUGGCAGUCUUGAGUACAGUUGAGGUAGGCGGAAUUCGUGGUGUAGCGGUGAAAUGCUUAGAUAUCACGAAGAACUCCGAUUGCGAAGGCAGCUUACUAACCUGUAACUGACAUUGAUGCUCGAAAGUGUGGGUAUCAAACAGGAUUAGAUACCCUGGUAGUCCACACGGUAAACGAUGAAUACUCGCUGUAGGCGAUAUACAGUCUGCGGCCAAGCGAAAGCAUUAAGUAUUCCACCUGGGGAGUACGCCGGCAACGGUGAAACUCAAAGGAAU
rnacentral:rRNA from 1 species